rnacentral:rRNA from 1 species
AGGACGAACGCUGGCGGCGUGCUUAACACAUGCAAGUCGAACGGUGAAGGAGAGCUUGCUCUCCGGAUCAGUGGCGAACGGGUGAGUAACACGUGAGUAACCUGCCCUUGACUCUGGGAUAAGCGUUGGAAACGACGUCUAAUACCGGAUACGAGCUUCAGCCGCAUGGCUAGGAGCUGGAAAGAUUUCGGCAAGGAUGGACUCGCGGCCUAUCAGCUAGUUGGUGAGGUAAUGGCUCACCAAGGCGACGACGGGUA